rnacentral:rRNA from 1 species
GAUGAACGCUGGCGGCGUGCCUAAUACAUGCAAGUCGAGCGAACAGACGAGGAGCUUGCUCCUCUGACGUUAGCGGCGGACGGGUGAGUAACACGUGGAUAACCUACCUAUAAGACUGGGAUAACUUCGGGAAACCGGAGCUAAUACCGGAUAAUAUAUUGAACCGCAUGGUUCAAUAGUGAAAGACGGUUUUGCUGUCACUUAUAGAUUGAUCCGCGCCGCAUUAGCUAGUUGGUAAGGUAACGGCUUACCAAGGCAACGAUGCGUAGCCGACCUGAGAGGGUGAUCGGCCACACUGGAACUGAGACACGGUCCAGACUCCGACGGGAGGCAGCAGUAGGGAAUCUUCCGCAAUGGGCGAAAGCUUGACGGAGCAACGCCGCGUGAGUGAUGAAGGUCUUCGGAUCGUAAAACUCUGUUAUUAGGGAAGAACAAAUGUGUAAGUAACUAUGCACGUCUUGACGGUACCUAAUCAGAAAGCCACGGCUAACUACGUG